GAUGAACGCUGGCGGCGUGCCUAACACAUGCAAGUCGAGCGACCGCACGAUAAGCUUUCUCUUUUGCUGUUAGCGGGGGACGGGUGGGUAACAAGUGGAUAGCCUACCUCUUUUUCUGGGAGGAUAACGGAAGAAAAGAUCUGAUACCAGCUCAUAUUUUCUACCGCUGAGUGCAAAAGUGCUUGGCGCUUUUGCUGUCUGUAUUAGAUGGAUUCGCGCUGCGUUAGUUAGUUGGUAAGGUAACGGCCUACCAACGCAACGAUGCAUAGCCGACCUGAGAGGGUGAUCGGCCACACUGGAACUGAGACACGGUCCAGACUCCUACGGGAGGCAGCAGUGGGGAAUAUUGGGCAAUGGGCGAAAGCCUGACGCAGCAACGCCGCGUGAGUGAAGAAGGUCUUCGGGUCGUAAAGCUCUUUUAUUAGGAAAGAAAAUAAGCAUGUGAAACUCUCGACGUCUUGACGGUACCUAAACAGAAAGCCACGGCUAACUACGUG
rnacentral:rRNA from 1 species